rnacentral:rRNA from 1 species
GACGAACGCUGGCGGCGUGCUUAACACAUGCAAGUCGAACGGAAAGGCCCUGCUUUUGUGGGGUGCUCGAGUGGCGAACGGGUGAGUAACACGUGAGUAACCUGCCCUUGACUUUGGGAUAACUUCAGGAAACUGGGGCUAAUACCGGAUAGGAGCUCCUGCUGCAUGGUGGGGGUUGGAAAGUUUCGGCGGUUGGGGAUGGACUCGCGGCUUAUCAGCUUGUUGGUGGGGUAGUGGUUUACCAAGGCUUUGACGGGUAGCCGGCCUGAGAGGGUGACCGGCCACAUUGGGACUGAGAUACGGCCCAGACUACUACGGGAGGCAGCAGUGGGGAAUAUUGCACAAUGGGCGGAAGCCUGAUGCAGCAACGCCGCGUGCGGGAUGACGGCCUUCGGGUUGUAAACCGCUUUCGCCUGUGACGAAGCGUGAGUGACGGUAAUGGGUAAAGAAGCACCGGCUAACUACGUG